CCUACGGGAGGCAGCAGUGAGGAAUAUUGGUCAAUGGGCGGAAGCCUGAACCAGCCAAGUAGCGUGCAGGAUGACGGCCCUACGGGUUGUAAACUGCUUUUAUACGGGAAUAACGCGCCUUACGUGUAGGGCUUUGCAUGUACCGUAUGAAUAAGGACCGGCUAAUUCCGUGCCAGCAGCCGCUGUAAUAAGGAAGGUCCGGGCGUUGUCCGGAUUUUUUGGGUUUAAAGGGGUCGUAGGCCGCAUGGCCAGCGGUCUGUGAAAUGUCCGGGCUCAACCCGGGCCUUGCAGCGCGAACUGGCGUUCGUGAGUCCGCGGAAAGCAGGCGGAAUUCGUCGUGGAGCGGUGAAAUGCUUAGAUAUGACGAAGAACCCCGAUUGCGAAGGCAGCUUGCUGCAGCGGAACUGACGCUGAUGCUCGAAAGCGCGGGUAUCGAACAGGAUUAGAUACCCUAGUAGUC
rnacentral:rRNA from 1 species